rnacentral:lncRNA from 10 species
ACCCCAUCUCUACUAAAAAAAAAUACAAAAAUUAGCCGGGCAUCGUGGUGCAUGCCUGUAAUCCCAGCUACUAGGGAGACUGAGGAUCAAAAAAAAAUUAAUCUAUAUUUUAGAAAAUUUAUGUGUGGUAAAGACCUAAAACUAGCAAAAGUGUGGGGAUUGAGAUUCUAGGAUGUGACAUUUGAGUACAGACAAGAAUGUGAGGGAGUGAGCCACUUUGAUAUCUGGGGGAAGAACAUUCCAGAUGGAGGGGGAACACCAGAUGCAGGGGAAACAGGUGCAAAGGCUCUGAUGGGGAGUCUGAUGGUUUUUAGGAACAGACUUUUAAAUAUAAGUUUACCAUACAGCGUAUGCUUUCUUUAUAACAGAAAUUUUUAUCUAUACUCGGGGUUGAUUCUGGUGUUUAUGUUUCAUUGCUCUUUCUUUCAGUUUUGGCACAAGCAAUACAUUGUUUUAAUCAUUAUGGUUUUAUCAUGUUUAUUUAUCCAUUACUGCAGGUCUUUUGCAACUUUUUUUUUUUUUUCUUUUUUGAGACAGAGUUUUGCUCUUUCACCAGGCUGGAGUAAAGUGGCGCCAUCUCAGCUCACUGCAACCUCCACUCCCCGCCCAGUUGAAGUGAUUCUCCUGCCUC